rnacentral:rRNA from 1 species
GUCUAUGGCCAUGCCACCCUGAACAUGCCUGAUCUCGUCUGAUCUCAGAAGCUAAGCAGGGUCAGGCCUGGUUAGUACUUAGAUGGGAGACCAGCUUGAAAUACCAGCUGCUGUAGGCA